rnacentral:lncRNA from 1 species
AUGGCCUGGGAAAGCAGUAGGAGAUGGCCUGAGUCCUUGGACCCCUGCACCCACAUGGGAGACCCAGAAGAAGCUCCUGGCUCCUGGCUUCAGCCUGGCCCAGCCCUGGUCAUUGCGGCCAUGUGGAGAGUGAACCAGUCGAUAGAAGAUCUCUCUUUCUCUCUCUCUCUCUGCCUCUGUCUCUCAAAUAAACAAGUAAUUUUUAAAAAAAAAUUUUUUUUGUUUUGCAUUUGUCUUCCCCUUCCAUUCAUUCUUAAAAGUCCACAUAAACAGAAGGUAUUCUGCUUUAUAUGCAAGAAUCCUCCCCUUAGCAUGCUACAUUUGAUUUGGGAGUCUACAUUUGGGAAAAACAAACUCCAAGAAAUUGAUCCCCCACCCUGUCAUUUCCAAGUGAGUAGCUCUCCAGUGGUGAGACCCCAUGCAUACUUUCUGCUGUUCAAGGGGUGUGAUUUAAGGUUCUGUGAAACCACUGUCCCCUACAAACAGUCUACCCUUCUCUACCUAUUCCUAAGCAUUCAUAUUUCAGAGAUGUCAAGGCAGAGUUUGGCCUGUUGCAAAUGCUAUCACAGAGUAGGUAUUACAAGGCUAAUGCCACCACCACCACCACUCCUCAACAAAACGACACAGAAAAGAAAAAAUGAGAGAAAUGUGUUUUUUUUUCAAGAUUUAUUUAUUUUACUUGAAAGUCACAGUUACACAGAGAGAGAAGGAGAGGCAGAGAGAGAGAGGAGAGAGAGGUCUUUUAUCAGAUGGUUAACUCCCCAAUUGGCUGCAACUGCCGGAGCUGCACUGAUCCUAAGCCAGGAGCCAGGAGCUUCUUCUGGGUCUUCCACGUGUGGAUGCAGGGGCCCAAAGACUUGGGCCAUCUUCUACUGCUAUCCCAGGCCACAGCAGAGAGCUGGAUUGGAAAUGGAGCAGCCGGGAAUUGAACUGGCGCCCAUAUGGGAUGGCAGCAAUGCAGGCGGCAGCUUUACCCACUACACCACAGCGCUGGCCCCAAGGGAAACUUGUAAAGAUGAAUGA